CCCGCACAAGCGGUGGAGCAUGUGGUUAAUUCGAAGCAACGCGAAGAACCUUACCAGGUCUUGACAUCCCUGACAACCCGAGAGAUCGGGCGUUCCCCCUCGGGGGACAGGGUGACAGGUGGUGCAUGGUUGUCGUCAGCUCGUGUCGUGAGAUGUUGGGUUAAGUCCCGCAACGAGCGCAACCCUCGCCUCUAGUUGCCAGCAUUCGGUUGGGCACUCUAGAGGGACUGCCGGCGACAAGUCGGAGGAAGUGGGAUGACGUCAAAUCAUCAUGCCCCUUAUGACCUGGGCUACACACGUGCUACAAUGGGCGGUACAAAGGGCUGCGAACCCGCGAGGGGGAGCGAAUCCCAAAAAGCCGCUCUCAGUUCGGAUUGCAGGCUGCAACUCGCCUGCAUGAAGCCGGAAUCGCUAGUAAUCGCGGAUCAGCAUGCCGCGGUGAAUACGUUCCCGGGCCUU
rnacentral:rRNA from 1 species